AUUUAAAAAGAAACUGAAAUUUCAAACUAAUUAGUAGUUAUUGCUUUUUUAUAAGUUAAUUAAAAAAAAUUUAUAAGGAUAUAAGUAAUAGUGUACCUUUUGCACAAGGGUCCAACAAGUUAAUUUAUAUAGCAAGUCAAAAUGAGACGUAAAGAAAUUAAGUUUGAAAAAAUAGCUAAUAGUUAUAUGAAUUAAACCCGAAACCAAAAGGAUUUAAACCGUGAACAAGCCGAAAAUAAGUUUUAUUGGAGGGCUGAACCAAUAUUUGUUGCAAUAAAUUUGGAUGAUUUACGGUUCGGAGUGAAAAGCUAAUCGACUUUGUUGAUAGCUGGUUUUCUGCGAAAACUAUUUAGGUAGUGUGUUAUUAAUAAAUAAUAAAUUAGGUAAAGUACUUAUUAAUCUAGG
rnacentral:rRNA from 1 species